UACAGAGGUCUCAAGCGUUGUUCGGAUUCAUUGGGCGUAAAGGGUGCGUAGGCGGCGCGGUAAGUCGGGUGUGAAAUCUCGGAGCUUAACUCCGAAACUGCAUUCGAUACUGCCGUGCUUGAGGACUGGAGAGGAGACUGGAAUUUACGGUGUAGCUGGUGAAAUGCGUAGAUAUCGUAAGGAAGACCAGUGGCGAAGGCGGGUCUCUGGACAGUUCCUGACGCUGAGGCACGAAGGUCAGGGGAGCAAACGGG
rnacentral:rRNA from 1 species